rnacentral:rRNA from 1 species
ACAAGCGGUGGAUGAUGUGGAUUAAUUCGAUGCAACGCGAAAACCUUACCUACCUUGACAUGUCCGGAAUCCUGCAGAGAUGCGGGAGUGGCCCGAAAGGGAAUCGGAACACAGGUGCUGCAUGGCUGUCGUCAGCUCGUGUCGUGAGAUGUUGGGUUAAGUCCCGCAACGAGCGCAACCCUUAUCAUUAGUUGCUACGCAAGGGCACUCUAAUGAGACUGCCGGUGACAACCGGAGGAAGUGGGGAUGACGUCAAGUCCUCAUGGCCCUUAUGGGUAGGGCUUCACACGUCAUACAAUGGUCGGUACAGAGGGUUGCCAAGCCGCGAGGUGGAGCCAAUCCCAGAAAGCCGAUCGUAGUCCGGAUUGUUCUCUGCAACUCGAGAGCAUGAAGUCGGAAUCGCUAGUAAUCGCGGAUCAGCAUGUCGCGGUGAAUACGUUCCCGGGUCUU